AGUGAACGCUGGCGGCGUGCUUAACACAUGCAAGUCGAACGAGAACGGGUUAUAGCUUGCUAUAAUUGUCAGCUAAGUGGCGCACGGGUGAGUAAUGUAUAGGUAAUAUGCCUCUUACUAAGGGAUAACAAAUGGAAACGUUUGCUAAUACCUUAUACUCCUUAUUAACAGAAGUUAAUAAGGGAAAGAUUUAUUGGUAAGAGAUUAGCCUGUAUUGUAUCAGUUAGUUGGUGGGGUAAUGGCUUACCAAGACUAUGACACAUAACUGGUUUGAGAGGAUGAUCAGUCACACUGGAACUGAGACACGGUCCAGACUCCUACGGGAGGCAGCAGUGGGGAAUAUUGCACAAUGGACGUAAGUCUGAUGCAGCAACGCUGCGUGGAGGAUGACACAUUUCGGUGCGUAAACUCCUUUUAUAUGAGAAGAUAAUGACGGUAUUAUAUGAAUAAGCACCGGCUAACUCUGUGCCAGCCGCCGCCGUAA
rnacentral:rRNA from 1 species